GACGAACGCUGGCGGCGUGCUUAACACAUGCAAGUCGAACGGUAAGGCCCUUCGGGGUACACGAGUGGCGAACGGGUGAGUAACACGUGGGUAAUCUGCCCUGCACAUCGGGAUAAGCCUGGGAAACUGGGUCUAAUACCGAAUAGGACCACAGGACACAUGUCCUGUGGUGGAAAGCUUUUGCGGUGUGGGAUGGGCCCGCGGCCUAUCAGCUUGUUGGUGGGGUGAUGGCCUACCAAGGCGACGACGGGUAGCCGGCCUGAGAGGGUGUCCGGCCACACUGGGACUGAGAUACGGCCCAGACUCCUACGGGAGGCAGCAGUGGGGGAUAUUGCACAAUGGGCGAAAGCCUGAUGCAGCGACGCCGCGUGGGGGAUGACGGCCUUCGGGUUGUAAACCUCUUUCACCAUCGACGAAGGUCCGGGUUUUCUCGGGCUGACGGUAGGUGGAGAAGAAGCACCGGCCAACUACGUG
rnacentral:rRNA from 1 species